CUGGCGGCGUGCUUAACACAUGCAAGUCGAACGGAAAGGCCUCCACCUUUUGGUGGGGGUGCUCGAGUGGCGAACGGGUGAGUAACACGUGGGUGAUCUGCCCUGUACUUCGGGAUAAGCUUGGGAAACUGGGUCUAAUACCGGAUAGGACCAUGGUUUAGUGUCUCAUGGUGGAAAGAUUAUUGUUUUGGUGCAGGAUGAGCUCGCGGCCUAUCAGCUUGUUGGUGGGGUAAUGGCCUACCAAGGCGUCGACGGGUAGCCGGCCUGAGAGGGUGGACGGCCACAUUGGGACUGAGAUACGGCCCAGACUCCUACGGGAGGCAGCAGUGGGGAAUAUUGCACAAUGGGCGCAAGCCUGAUGCAGCGACGCCGCGUGAGGGAUGGAGGCCUUCGGGUUGUGAACCUCUUUCUCCGGUGGUGAAGGCCCUGUCCGUUGCGGCGGGGUUGACGGUAGCCGGGUAUGAAGCGCCGGCUAACUACGUGCCAGCAGCCGCGGUAAUACGUAGGGCGCGAGCGUUGUCCGGAAUUAUUGGGCGUGAAGGGCUUGUAGGCGGCCGGUCGCGUCCGCCGUGAAAUUCUCCGGCUCAACCGGGGGCUUGCGGUGGGUACGGGCCGGCUGGAGUGCGGUAGGGGAGGCUGGAACUCCUGGUGUAGCGGUGGAAUGCGCAGAUAUCAGGAGGAACACCGGUGGCGAAGGCGGGUCUCUGGGCCGUUACUGACGCUGAGGAGCGAAAGCGUGGGGAGCGAACAGGAUUAGAUACCCUGGUAGUCCACGCCGUAAACGUUGGGCACUAGGUGUGGGGCCCCGCUCGGCGGGGGUCCGCGCCGCAGCUAACGCAUUAAGUGCCCCGCCUGGGGAGUACGGCCGCAAGGCUAAAACUCAAAGGAAUUGACGGGGGCCCGCACAAGCGGCGGAGCAUGUGGAUUAAUUCGAUGCAACGCGAAGAACCUUACCUGGGUUUGACAUGCACCAGACGGUUGUAGAGAUACGUACCUCCCUUUGUGGUUGGUGUGCAGGUGGUGCAUGGUUGUCGUCAGCUCGUGUCGUGAGAUGUUGGGUUAAGUCCC
rnacentral:rRNA from 1 species